CUCAAUCCUCACUGUCUCAACCAAAUGAGUGCUGAGAAUAUAGGCAUGGAUAAAAACAUCUAUGCAUUUUGCUUUGUAAGGUGGACACAAUUAGAGUUCUCAGUCAGUUAAAAGACAAGUGUAGUGGCGGUGAAAGAUCAGGAACAUUCUUUUAAAAAAUAUUGAGUGAAAUGUGUCAACUUGAUAUUAUUUUAAUUCUAAGGUUUGGAAGAGCUUUGUAUAUCAUUAAUGUUUCAAAAAUCCCAAGAACUUAACAUUCUUGUUAAUUUCAUAGCAUUCAUUUUGAAUGUGUGGAAAUGGAUUCUUUAUGAAUGCAGCAGUCAUCAUGAGAGAAAAUAAUGAAAUGAACAGCACUUUGCAUGGCUAAUAGAAUUACCUAAUGGGUACCAGCCCCCAAACCGUAUGAACACAUAUUCUUUGCUGGUCCUCUUUUUGCAGAUUUUACUUCCCAUCUCUGGUACAUCAAAUAUCGGAAGGUUUAGGAACAUCGUCUCCCACUGAAGCCAGACAAGACAUCCUUCUCCUACAUAGGUGUCCGAGACCAUGACUAUCCAGUGACACUACAAUGAUCAGCAUUCAGAUGAACUUUAGUCCACGGAACUCAAGAAAUGUCACAGCUUUAGCUUCCCUGUCUGGGUGGCUUAUGAAAUAUCUAAAUUCAGCUGCACAGGGGCAAUUCCCCUUAAAACCUUGGUUCAGCAAAAAAACCAGCAGCAAAGAAGUGAGUCUACCAACUUCCUUCAAGUGCCCUUUCUCAGUUCCCAG
rnacentral:lncRNA from 1 species